rnacentral:misc_RNA from 1 species
GUGAGUCAUCGAAUCUUUGAACGCACAUUGCGCCCUGUGGUAUUCCGCAGGGCAUGCCUGUUCGAGCGUCAGCACAACACUCAAGCCCAGCUUGGUCUUGAGCCCAGCCGGUCACGGCGGGCUUUAAAAUCAGUGGCGGCGCCCCCUGGCUCUAAGCGUAGUAGUAAGACCCUCGCUACUGAGUCCCGGCGGGCGCUGGCCAGCAACCCCCAACCUCCUCAGUUUGACCUCGGAUCAGGUAGGGAUACCCGCUGAACUUAAGCAUAUCAAUAAGCGGAGGA